GGGUUGUGAGGUUAAGCGACUAAGCGUACACGGUGGAUGCCCUGGCAGUCAGAGGCGAUGAAGGGCGUGCUAAUCUGCGAUAAGCGUCGGUAAGGUGAUAUGAACCGUUAUACCCGACGAUACCCGAAUGGGGAAACCCAGUGUGCUCCGGCACAUUAUCAUGUCAUGAAUACAUAGUGGCAUGAGGCGAACCGGGGGAACUGAAACAUCUAAGUACCCCGAGGAAAAGAAAUCAACCGAGAUUCCCCCAGUAGCGGCGAGCGAACGGGGAGGAGCCCGGAGUCUGAAUCAGCAUGUGUGUUAGUGGAAGCGUCUGGAAAGUCGCGCGAUACAGGGUGAAAGUCCCGUACACAAAAG
rnacentral:rRNA from 1 species